rnacentral:rRNA from 1 species
GACGAAGGGGGCUAGCGUUGUUCGGAAUUACUGGGCGUAAAGGGCGCGUAGGCGGCUUAACAAGUCACUUGUGAAAUCUCCGGGCUUAACUCGGAACGGCCAAGUGAAACUGUCAAGCUAGAGUGCAGAAGGGGCAAUCGGAAUUCUUGGUGUAGCGGUGAAAUGCGUAGAUAUCAAGAGGAACACCUGCGGCGAAGGCGGGUUGCUGGGCCGACACUGACGCUGAAUCGCGAAGACCAGGGAGGCGAACGGG